rnacentral:rRNA from 1 species
CCAGUUUGGUGUGGUUGACUGAAAGUUAACCUCUGGUGUGGUUGGUUAACCAGCCUACCAGUACUCGUAGUGUGCAGUGACGUGGAAUCGGUGUUGAAGCCGGUGAAAAGUCGCACGCUUGAUGAGUGAAGGGAUUGUUGGAAUGGGCAAUUGUUUGUCCAGGCGGGAUGCCUCCUCAAUACCUGAGACUGCCAUUGACUUGACUGAAGCGAUUGUCUUAAAAAGAACAACUGCUGGCCGUGGAUCACUUGGUUGACGGAUCGAUGAAGAACGUAGCAAACUACGUUAAACGGUGUGAAUUGCAGAACACGCAGAACACUGGAACUUUGAACGCACAUGGCAGGUUAGUGUAAUAACUAACCUUUGUCUGUGUGAGGGUUGUAAUCAGAGAAUGAAUGUUACUUUUUGAAAUGCGGGGAGGUUGCCUUUUAAAUGUGUGACAUGCCCGCUGAUCGCAGUAAAAACACACUUGUGUUGCGCCUCUGGCCAGCGUCGGAGGAAAACAGCAACUAGUGUGAAGGAUAGAGGAGUUUGCUGGAGUUGACACGCUGUCAAGAGCGUAGUCAGAAGCAGUAGUUUCCUAUCCUGCCUUACUUUCUCACAACCUCACAUCAGGCAAGAUUACCCGCUUAAUUUAAGCAUAUCACUCAGCGGAGGAAAAGAAAACAAAUGUGAUUCCCCCAGUAACGGCGAGUGAAAAGGGAUGAAGCCCAGCGUGAAGGCCUUCUUCGACAAUCGAGGAGAGCGGUGCCACGUUGAUGACUUGGUGUUUGCUUUCUCCCUUGUGCAGGCACAAGUUCUCUUGAGUGGGACGCCAAAGCAGGUGGGAGCCCUGUAGUGACUGUUCGGGAGAAACUAACCUGGUCAUGGUAGAGUCGACUUGCUUGGGAGUGCAAGUUAAAGUACCAGGUAGGCUCCUGGUAAGGCUAAAUACGACCGUCAGACCGAUAGCAAACAAGUACCGUGAGGGAAAGUUGAAAAGUACUUUGAAGAGAGAGUUAAAGAGAACGUGAAACGGCCAACAGGCAAACGAAUGGAGCUGCGAAGUAGUGGCGGAGUUCAGCCGAAAGGUUGCGGUCUUGUUGUGGGUAACGCCUGUUAAGGGGUUCCUGGGGCUUGUGCUGUAGCCAAGAGGUGUACACUGUCGUCACAAUGCUGUGAGUGGUUGUAAGAUGGACAGUCGUUUCGAGGCUUGGAUGGUGGGAAUUAUUGCAAUUCUUUUAGCCAAGUCUCGCACCCCGUUCAUGUAAUGACUGCGUUUAAUUCCCAGAAAUGGGUAUGUGAAGACGUAGAUCAGAUGGACUGUUGGCGGUGGCUGUGGCAAGUCGUGCGAACAGCUCGACCCUACUUCCAGCGGUAACAGGCAAGUCUGAUUGAAGU